UUUCGUUAUUAUCUUUGUUAGUGUUUGGCAAGUGGGUGUAUACAAAAGCAAAAAGCGUGGUUAACUUCAUUUUGAGAUACUGUAAAAUCCAACAACUAAAACACGCAAAUAUAACAAUGGCUAUUAUGAUUAAUGGUAAACACAAAAUAAUCAAAGACUCCGACACUUGAAUGAACUUAAACGCAGUAAACUGUUAUUCUUGAUUUUAUGUAAUCUUCUCUAAUUCGAUUUUUUAAGGUAACUGAGAGUGAGGUAUCAGAUUAAUGCCCCCUAUAUGGAGGGUUUUUAAAAUUGUGGUUUAUUAUACUUGAGUUAAAUUGUAGCUCUGAAAACACCGAUUUUUCAUACCGUCAUUAGCGGCCUUUCUUCAUUUCUUUGCGAAACACAUCAACCUUGUCAUGCAUCACCAUCUGCUUCUCCCCUCAAUGAUUUGACACCAAACACUUCCUGUCUUUCAUCCACCUUCAACAUCUCCUCUUUUUUCCUCUCAUUUUUCUGUCUACCGCCGACCUUUCUGCGACAUCCCCCAAACCUUCAGACUAUCAAUGCUGUUCUCUCUCAAUAAUUCAGAGCUUUUCACUCAAAACAUUAUGACUUGGCUUCACUGCGUAAAGUCUUGAACAGGCUUCAAAACAAAACAAAACAAGUAUGUACAAGAUCAUUAACAGGAAAAGAAAAACCAUAAAAUGAGUCGUUAGCUAUGUCUUUGGCCUAAAAUGACAGAAGGUUCAGGACCGAGUUGGAGGUUUCGAAGUUAGCUCUGUUUGCCAAGGAACCUGUUGGUAAUAGCAGGAAUAAAGCGAUGACCCUGCUUGCGACAUAUGAGAAGGCGGCCAUUGUGGCGUCGACCCGGGUGUGCUGUAGGUUGGUGCUCGGUGAUUCUUGCGAUUGGGCAGUCACAGAUUGCCGCUUCGUCACCGCUGGGCCUGUAAGGGGA